CGUGAUAACGUCUUUAAAAUCGUUUUAUUGGGUUACUGUUCAGACACUGUGUCACGAGCGAGGUCGAUCGCAGGUAUACCCCCCUCUCGUUAUAACGAGAGAGAGACGGACCGAUCUCCCGUCUCAUCUCGAGCGCUGCCAGUCAUUCCGACCCCCCUCUCGUUAUAACCAGAGAGAGACGGACCGAUCUCCCGUCUCAUCUCGAGCGCUGCCAGUCAUUCCGUGCCAGUCAUAGCGUUCGAGUGAGUUGACCGAUCUUCCGUCUCUCUCACUCUAGCGGCAUACAAACGAAUGGAGAUUUUCUCGUGCGGUUAAGUUUACGUUGAAUGUUUUAUCGGCCGAUAAAAAGUUUGUAGUGUGCGGGGAGCCUAACAGUAAAACAAAAUGUGAAGUGCAAGUGAAGUGUUACAACAAUUGCAACAAACAAAACUUAUAUCACCAAUAAGACGUUAUCACGUAAACAUCUCGAUCGUAAACCUACUUUACAAACAACCAUUUUUUUUUAGCAUAAUUUUGCUUUCUUUGAAAUAUUGCUUUGAGACUACUGCUUAUUUGUCCCUUGGGAUCUCCCUUGACACGUUCUUCAUUUAACAUUGCUUCGUCAAAAGAGAAGAGAAGGUAUGGUAAUAAAGGCAGAUUUGAAGCCUGGAAAAUAGGUGUCUUGGAGCGUUGCGAAGGAAUUGAGAGCAGAAAACCGUCCCAAAUGUAAAGAUUAAUUGUAUUAAAUUGAAUAGUAGGAAAUAAAUUGAAUACGUUUCGCCACGUGA